rnacentral:rRNA from 1 species
UGAGUACGAGAUGCUACGGCAUCGAAGCAGUCUAUGUCAUACUUCCAAGAAAAGCUUGCACUGUCAUAAACAAAGAAUGCCUGUACCAUAACCGACACAGGUGGGUAGGUAGAGUAUACUAAGGGGCGCGAGAUAACUCUCUCUAAGGAACUCGGCAAAAUGACUCCGUAACUUCGGGAGAAGGAGUGCCUUAUUUCUAAGGUUGCAAUAACAAGAUCCAAGCAACUGUUUACCAAAAACACAGGUCUCCGCUAAGUCGUAAGACGAUGUAUGGGGGCUGACGCCUGCCCAGUGCCAGAAGGUUAAAGAAGUUGGUUAGCAUUAGCGAAGCUGAUAACUGAAGCCCUGGUGAACGGCGGCCGUAACUAUAACGGUCCUAAGGUAGCGAAAUUCCUUGUCGGGUAAGUUCCGACCCGCACGAAAGGCGUAAUGAUUUGGAUACUGUCUCGGAGAGGGGCUCGGUGAAAUAGACUUGUCUGUGAAGAUGCGGACUACCUGCACCUGGACAGAAAGACCCUAUGAAGCUUUACUGUAACUUGAGAUUGAAAUUGGACUUUAUUUGCGCAGUAUAGGUGGGAGGCGUUGAGAAUAAUCUUGCGGGAUUGUUGGAGCCAUCAGUGAGAUACCACUCUUGUAAUGUUAGAUUUCUAACUUUGUAUCAUUAUCUGGUCAAAGAACAGUUUCAGGCGGGCAGUUUGACUGGGGCGGUCGCCUCCCAAAGGGUAACGGAGGCGCACAAAGGUUUCCUCUGAACGGGUAGAAAUCGUAUCUAGAGUGUAAAGGCAUAAGGAAGCUUGACUGUGAGACCUACAAGUCGAGCAGGGACGAAAGUCGGUCUUAGUGAUCUGACGGUGCUGAGUGGAAAGGCCGUCACUCAACGGAUAAAAGUUACUCUAAGGAUAACAGGCUGAUCUCCCCCAAGAGUUCACAUCGACGGGGAGGUUUGGCACCUCGAUGUCGGCUCAUCGCAUCCUGGGGCGGUAGUCCGUCCCAAGGGUUGGGCUGUUCGCCCAUGAAAGCGGUACGCGAGCUGGGUUCAGAACGUCGUGAGACAGUUCGGUCCAUAUCCGGUGUAGGCGUUAGAAUAUUGAGAGGAGCCUUCUCUAGUACGAGAGGACCGAGAAGGACAUACCUCUGGUGUACCAGUUAUCGUGCCAACGGUAAACGCUGGGUAGCUAUGUAUGGAGCGGAUAACCGCUGAAAGCAUCUAAGUGGGAAGCCCACCUCAAGAUAAGUAUUC